rnacentral:rRNA from 1 species
GUUUCACUACUUCCGUCGCGNGNGUCNUUCUUUAACACAUNACCAAUNCGAACGAUGAUGCCCAGCUUGCUGGGUGGAUUAGUGGCGAACGGGUGAGUAACACGUGAGUAACCUGCCCCUGACUCUGGGAUAAGCGUUGGAAACGACGUCUAAUACUGGAUAUGAUCACUGGCCGCAUGGUCUGGUGGUGGAAAGAUUUUUUGGUUGGGGAUGGACUCNCNGCCUAUCAGCUUGUUGGUGAGGUAAUGGCUCACCAAGGCGACGACGGGUAGCCCGCCUGAGAGGGUGACGGGCCACACUGGGACUGANACACGGCCCAGACUCCUACGGGAGGCAGCAGUGGGGAAUAUUGCACAAUGGGCGAAAGCCUGAUGCAGCANCGCCGCNUGAGGGAUGACGGCCUUCGGNUUGUAAACCUCUUUUANUAGGGAAGAAGCGAAAGUGACGGUACCUGCAAAAAAAGCACCGGCUAACUACNUGCCCGCAACCNCGGUAAUACGUAUGGUGCAAGCGUUCUCCGGAAUUAUUGGGCAUAAAGAGCUCNUAAGCCGUUUGUCCCGUCCGCNGUGAAAUCCCCGAGGCCUCAACCCU